UGGGUGUGUAGCUUAGAUGGUAGAGCAGUGGCCUCCAAAGCCGCCGGUCGGGGGUUCGAAUCCCUCCGCACUCGU
rnacentral:tRNA from 34 species